AUCUAAAUAGUUUAAUUUAAAAUGUUGGUUUGUGGUGCCGACGAUACGGACUGUGUUUGUUUUAGAUU
rnacentral:tRNA from 1 species